CCGUAGCUACGCGGAGGGACAUUACCGAGUUUACAACUCCCAAACCCAAUGUGAACGUUACCAAACUGUUGCCUCGGCGGGAACUCAUGCCCCGGGUGCGUCGCAGCCCCGGACCAAGGCGCCCGCCGGAGGACCAACCAAAACUCUUUUUGUAUACCCCCUCGCGGGUUUUUUAUAAUCUGAGCCUUCUCGGCGCCUCUCGUAGGCGUUUCGAAAAUGAAUCAAAACUUUCAACAACGGAUCUCUUGGUUCUGGCAUCGAUGAAGAACGCAGCGAAAUGCGAUAAGUAAUGUGAAUUGCAGAAUUCAGUGAAUCAUCGAAUCUUUGAACGCACAUUGCGCCCGCCAGUAUUCUGGCGGGCAUGCCUGUCCGAGCGUCAUUUCAACCCUCGAACCCCUCCGGGGGGUCGGCGUUGGGGAUCGGCCCUCCUCUUGCGGGGGCCGUCUCCGAAAUACAGUGGCGGUCUCGCCGCAGCCUCUCCUGCGCAGUAGUUUGCACACUCGCAUCGGGAGCGCGGCGCGUCCACAGCCGUUAAACACCCAACUUUCUGAAAUGUUGACCUCGGAUCAGGUAGGAAUACCCGCUGAACUUAAGCAUAUCAAAAGCCGGAGGAA
rnacentral:rRNA from 1 species